UACGUAGGGUGCAAGCGUUGUCCGGAAUUAUUGGGCGUAAAGAGCUCGUAGGCGGUUCGUCGCGUCGGCUGUGAAAACCCGGAGCUCAACUCCGGGCCUGCAGUCGAUACGGGCGGACUUGAGUGUUGCAGGGGAGACUGGAAUUCCUGGUGUAGCGGUGAAAUGCGCAGAUAUCAGGAGGAACACCGGUGGCGAAGGCGGGUCUCUGGGCAACUACUGACGCUGAGGCGCGAAAGCUAGGGGAGCGAACGGG
rnacentral:rRNA from 1 species